rnacentral:rRNA from 1 species
GACGAACGCUGGCGGCGUGCCUAACACAUGCAAGUCGAACGGGAUCCAUGAGAGCUUGCUCUCGGAAGAUCUAGUGGCGAACGGGUGAGUAACACGUGAGAAACCUGCCCUGGAGUGGGGAAUAACUCGGGGAAACUCGAGCUAAUACCGCAUACCCUCGGAUGGUUGCAUGGCCGACCGAGGAAAGAUUUAUCGCUCUAGGAGGGUCUCGCGGCCUAUCAGCUAGUUGGUGGGGUAACGGCCUACCAAGGCAACGACGGGUAGCUGGUUUGAGAGAACGAUCAGCCACACUGGGACUGAGACACGGCCCAGACUCCUACGGGAGGCAGCAGUGGGGAAUCUGGCGCAAUGGGCGAAAGCCUGACGCAGCAACGCCGCGUGCGGGAUGACGGCCUUCGUGGUUGUAAACCGCUUUCAGCAGGGACGAAAAUGACGGUACCUGCAGAAGAAGCCCCGGCUAACUACGUGCCAGCCGCCGCCGUAA